UACGUAGGGGGCUAGCGUUGUCCGGAAUCAUUGGGCGUAAAGCGCGUGUAGGCGGCUCGGUAAGUCCGCUCUGAAAGCCCGGGGCUCAACCCCGGGAGGCGGGUGGAUACUGCCGGGCUAGAGUCCGGAAGAGGCGAGUGGAAUUCCUGGUGUAGCGGUGAAAUGCGCAGAUAUCAGGAAGAACACCUAUGGCGAAGGCAGCUCUCUGGGACGGUACUGACGCUGAGACGCGAAAGCGUGGGGAGCGAACAGG
rnacentral:rRNA from 1 species